CCUACUUAUACUACUCCAAAAUCAUAAGACAUUCUUAAUUUUCCUUUAAGCUUGUCCACUCCUGCUGGAAGGAUUACAUAUGUAAGCUUAUUGAACUUUCUAGACCAUGCUUACCUUUUAACCCUUGUAUGUGGCCCAUUAAUUGAGAACAAUUAAGAAAUUUUUCACAAUUUUCCUAACUCACUUCAUUAUGCGUUGACCCUGAAAAUGCCUA
rnacentral:lncRNA from 1 species